rnacentral:rRNA from 1 species
AUUGAACGCUGGCGGCAUGCUUUACACAUGCAAGUCGAACGGUAACAGGGAGCUUGCUCCGCUGACGAGUGGCGAACGGGUGAGUAAUGCGUCGGAACGUGCCGAGUAGUGGGGGAUAACGCAGCGAAAGUUGUGCUAAUACCGCAUACGUACUGAGGUAGAAAAUGGGGGACCUUCUGGCCUCACGCUAUUCGAGCGGCCGACGUCUGAUUAGCUAGUAGGUGAGGUAAAGGCUCACCUAGGCGACGAUCAGGAGCGGGUAUGAGAGGAUGAACCGCCACACUGGGACUGAGACACGGCCCAGACUCCUACGGGAGGCAGCAGUGGGGAAUUUUGGACAAUGGGCGAAAGCCUGAUCCAGCCAUGCCGCGUGUCUGAAGAAGGCCUUCGGGUUGUAAAGGACUUUUGUCGGGGAGGAAAUCCCCAGCGCUAAUACCGCUGGGGGAUGACAGUACCUGAAGAAUAAGCACCGGCUAACUACGUGGCAGCCGCCGCGGUAAAAC